AACGAGGCCGACCUGCGGCUGAGUUACCUGCGGAGGGAUCAUUACUGAGUGCGGGUUCCAAUGAGCCCAACCUCCCACCCGUGUUUACCGUAACCGCGUUGCCUCGGCGGGCCCACUGGGGCCUGUCCCCGGUCGCCGGGGGGCAUCUGCCCCCGGGCCCGCGCCCGCCGAAGCGCCCUAGAACCCUGCCUGAACAGUGAGUCUGAGUGAGUGAUUGAAUCAUUAAAACUUUCAACAAUG
rnacentral:misc_RNA from 1 species